rnacentral:rRNA from 1 species
UAGGGAAUAUUAGUAAUGGGCGCAAGCCUGAACUAGCGACACCGCGUGUGCGAAGAAGGCCUUCGGGUUGUAAAGCACUUUUAGAGGGGAUGAGGAAGGACGGUACUCUCUGAAUAAGUCUUGGCUAACUACGUGCCAGCAGCCGCGGUAACACGUAGGAGGCAAACGUUAUCCGGAUUUACUGGGCGUAAAGCGCGUGUAGGUGGUUCUGUAAGUAGGGCGUGAAAGCUCCCGGCUCAACUGGGAGAGGCCGUUCUAAACUGCAGAGCUAGAGGAUGGUAGAGGGAGGUGGAAUUCCGGGUGUAGCGGUGGAAUGCGCAGAUAUCCGGAGGAACACCAGUGGCGAAGGCGACCUCCUGGGCCACUCCUGACACUCAGACGCGAAAGCUAGGGUAGCAAACGG